AAAAAAGGUAAGCUACUAAGAGCGAAUGGUGGAUGCCUUGACUGGUAAAGGCGAUGAAGGACGUACUAGACUGCGAUAAGCUACGGGGAGCUGUCAAGAAGCUUUGAUCCGUAGAUUUCCGAAUGGGGCAACCCAAUGUAUAGAGAUAUACAUUACCUAUAUAGGAGCGAACGAGGGGAAUUGAAACAUCUUAGUACCCUCAGGAAAAGAAAUCAAUAGAGAUUGCGUCAGUAGCGGCGAGCGAAAGCGUAAGAGGGCAAACCCAGUGCUUGCACUGGGGGUUGUAGGACUGCAAUGUGCAAGAGGUGAGUUUAGCAGAACAUUCUGGAAAGUAUAGCCAUAGAGGGUGAUAGUCCCGUAUGCGAAAAACAAACCUUAGCUAGCAGUAUCCUGAGUAGGGCGGGACACGAGAAAUCCUGUCUGAAGCUGGGUCGACCACGAUCCAACCCUAAAUACUAAUACCAGAUCGAUAGUGCACAAGUACCGUGAGGGAAAGGUGAAAAGAACUGAGGUGAUCAGAGUGAAAUAGAACCUGAAACCAUUUGCUUACAAUCAUUCAGAGCACUAUGUAGCAAUACAGUGUGAUGGACUGCCUUUUGCAUAAUGAGCCUGCGAGUUGUGGUGUCUGGCAAGGUUAAGCAAACGCGAAGCCGUAGCGAAAGCGAGUCUGAAUAGGGCGCUUAGUCAGAUGCUGCAGACCCGAAACGAAGUGAUCUAUCCAUGAGCAAGUUGAAGCUAGUGUAAGAACUAGUGGAGGACUGAACCCAUAGGCGUUGAAAAGCCCCGGGAUGACUUGUGGAUAGGGGUGAAAGGCCAAUCAAACUUCGUGAUAGCUGGUUCUCUCCGAAAUAUAUUUAGGUAUAGCGUUGUGUCGUAAUAUAAGGGGGUAGAGCACUGAAUGGGCUAGGGCAUACACCAAUGUACCAAACCCUAUCAAACUCCGAAUACCUUAUAUGUAAUCACAGCAGUCAGGCGGCGAGUGAUAAAAUCCGUCGUCAAGAGGGAAACAACCCAGACUACCAGCUAAGGUCCCUAAAUCUUACUUAAGUGGAAAACGAUGUGAAGUUACUUAAACAACCAGGAGGUUGGCUUAGAAGCAGCCAUCCUUUAAAGAAAGCGUAAUAGCUCACUGGUCUAGUGAUUUUGCGCGGAAAAUAUAACGGGGCUAAAGUAAGUACCGAAGCUGUAGACUUGCGCACAACUUAGAUUAUUUAAGUUUAGAAUAUGAGAAACUAAGUUAUAUGUUUAGUUAUAUUUUUACUGAUUUUUAUAGAGUAAAGAUAGAAAUAAAACUUAGUAAAAUCAGUAAAAAUAUUCUUAGACUAAAGUUAAGUAGUUUAAGUUGUGUGCAAGUGGUAGGAGAGCGUUCUAUUUGCGUCGAAGGUAUACCGGUAAGGAGUGCUGGAGCGAAUAGAAGUGAGCAUGCAGGCAUGAGUAGCGAUAAUUAAUGUGAGAAUCAUUAACGCCGUAAACCCAAGGUUUCCUACGCGAUGCUCGUCAUCGUAGGGUUAGUCGGGUCCUAAGUCGAGUCCGAAAGGGGUAGACGAUGGCAAAUUGGUUAAUAUUCCAAUACCAACAUUAGUGUGCGAUGGAAGGACGCUUAGGGCUAAGGGGGCUAGCGGAUGGAAGUGCUAGUCUAAGGUCGUAGGAGGUUAUACAGGCAAAUCCGUAUAACAAUACUCCGAGAACUGAAAGGCUUUUUGAAGUCUUCGGAUGGAUAGAAGAACCCCUGAUGCCAUCGAGCCAAGAAAAGUUUCUAAGUUUAGCUAAUGUUGCCCGUACCGUAAACCGACACAGGUGGGUGGGAUGAGUAUUCUAAGGCGCGUGGAAGAACUCUCUUUAAGGAACUCUGCAAAAUAGCACCGUAUCUUCGGUAUAAGGUGUGGUUCGCUUCGUAUUAGGAUUUACUCCGAAAGCGAAGAAACUUACAACAAAGAGUCCCUCCCGACUGUUUACCAAAAACACAGCACUCUGCUAACUCGUAAGAGGAUGUAUAGGGUGUGACGCCUGCCCGGUGCUCGAAGGUUAAUUGAUGGGGUUAGCAUUAGCGAAGCUCUUGAUCGAAGCCCGAGUAAACGGCGGCCGUAACUAUAACGGUCCUAAGGUAGCGAAAUUCCUUGUCGGUUAAAUACCGACCUGCAUGAAUGGCGUAACGAGAUGGGAGCUGUCUCAAAGAGGGAUCCAGUGAAAUUGUAGUGGAGGUGAAAAUUCCUCCUACCCGCGGCAAGACGGAAAGACCCCGUGGACCUUUACUACAGCUUGACACUGCUAUUUGGAUAAGAAUGUGCAGGAUAGGUGGGAGGCUUUGAGUAUAUGACGCCAGUUGUAUAUGAGCCAUUGUUGAGAUACCACUCUUUCUUAUUUGGGUAGCUAACCAGCUUGAGUUAUCCUCAAGUGGGACAAUGUCUGGUGGGUAGUUUGACUGGGGCGGUCGCCUCCCAAAUAAUAACGGAGGCUUACAAAGGUUGGCUCAGAACGGUUGGAAAUCGUUCGUAGAGUAUAAAGGUAUAAGCCAGCUUAACUGCAAGACAUACAAGUCAAGCAGAGACGAAAGUCGGUCUUAGUGAUCC
rnacentral:rRNA from 1 species